UGGGGAAUAUUGCGCAAUGGUGGAAACCCUGACGCAGCGACGCCGCGUGCGGGAUGAAGGCCUUCGGGUUGUAAACCGCUUUUGAUUGGGAGCAAGCUUUCGGGUGAGUGUACCUUUCGAAUAAGCGCCGGCUAACUACGUGCCAGCAGCCGCGGUAAUACUUAGGGCGCAAGCGUUAUCCGGAAUUAUUGGGCGUAAAGAGCUUGUAGGCGGUUCGUCGCGUCUGGUGUGAAAGCCCAUCGCUUAACGGUGGGUUUGCGCCGGGUACGGGCGGGCUAGUGUGCAGUAGGGGGGACUGGAAUUCCCGGUGUAACGGUGGAAUGUGUAGAUAUCGGGAAGAACACCAAUGGCGAAGGCAGGUCUCUGGGCUGUUACUGACGCUGAGAAGCGAAAGCGUGGGGAGCGAACAGG
rnacentral:rRNA from 1 species